rnacentral:lncRNA from 1 species
ACUGCCUUCCCCUCAUCCAAAUGCCAUGAAAUUUCACAUGUCUACCAUGCUAGAUGUUAGGAUUGAGUGUGAUUUAUUUGGUGAUUUUUGAAUUUGUUUGAGUUGACUUUUGAAUGAGGUCUUGUUGUUGACCUUUUGUAUGCUUCCUUUGCCAUGCUUUGCUUUCAAAUGUUCAUGAAAUGAUAAUAAUGCAUGAUUUGGUUGUGAAUCCAAUUGAGAUAGCUUCUUAAAUGUUU